rnacentral:rRNA from 1 species
AGAGUUUGAUCCUGGCUCAGGAUGAACGCUAGCGACAGGCUUAACACAUGCAAGUCGAGGGGCAGCGGUGGUGAAGGCUUGCCUUCACCAGCCGGCAACCGGCGCACGGGUGAGUAACACGUAUGCAACCUGCCUGCCACAGCCGGAUAAUCGGGAGAAAUCCCGUCUAAUACGGCAUAAUGCAUCGACGGGACAUCCUGUUGGUGCCAAAGGUUAAUUCCGGUGGCGGAUGGGCAUGCGUCGCAUUAGUUAGUUGGCGGUGUAACGGACCACCAAGACGACGAUGCGUAGGGGUUCUGAGAGGAAGGUCCCCCACACUGGUACUGAGACACGGACCAGACUCCUACGGGAGGCAGCAGUGAGGAAUAUUGGUCAAUGGGCGGGAGCCUGAACCAGCCAAGUCGCGUGAGGGAUGACGGCCCUAUGGGUUGUAAACCUCUUUUGCCGGGGAGCAAAGUGCCGCACGUGUGCGGUUUGGAGAGUACCCGGAGAAAAAGCAUCGGCUAACUCCGUGCCAGCAGCCGCGGU